UCCUGCCCGCCGGCCGCUGAUAUGUCUGGUAUUCUUGGGUUUGAACUUCCAGCGUUGAACCCGCAUAUUAGACGUAUCGACGGCCGGCGGGGCAGGUAAUG
rnacentral:pre_miRNA from 15 species